rnacentral:piRNA from 1 species
UACAUGACUGAAAGCCAUGAGCCUCUCCUGU